rnacentral:rRNA from 1 species
ACUACGGGAGGCAGCAGUGAGGAAUAUUGGUCAAUGGACGAGAGUCUGAACCAGCCAAGUAGCGUGAAGGAUGACUGCCCUAUGGGUUGUAAACUUCUUUUAUAUGGGAAUAAAAUGUUCCACGUGUGGGAUUUUGUAUGUACCAUAUGACUCAGGAUCGGCUAACUCCGUGCCAGCAGCCGCGGUAAUACGGGGGCUCCGAGCGUUAGCCGGAUUUGUUGGGGUUAAAGGGAGCGUAGGUGGAUUGUUAAGUCAGUUGUGAACGUUAGCGGCUCAACCGGAAAAUUGCAGUUGAAACUGGCAGUCUGGAGUGAAGUAGAGGUGGGCGGAAUUCGGGGUGUAGCGGUGAAAUGCGUAGAUAUCACGAAGAACUCCGAUUGCGAAGGCAGCUCACUGGACUGCAACUGACACUGAGGCUCGAAAGUGUGGGUAUCAAACAGGAUUAGAUACCCCAGUAGUC